ACACAAACAUCGAACCCCUUUAACGUCUAGGAUUCCACCAUUACAUUCAUUUGCAACUACACUGAUACUUUUGACAGCUACAUAAUUCCCCGACCUUGCGCGUUCGGAUACAUUUCUGUUGACAACAAAACAUUCACAGAGGAACUGCUAGGACGGUGAUAGCGAAGCAAGAAAUGUCAAGGAAAUGAGCUAGAUUGAUUUUUCCGGUUCAAACGACUUGAGCAAGGAACGACAGCACGCGAUUUUCACAUUCAUACGAUGUUUUCGUUAAAAAAAAAUCGUGCUUGAACACUUUUCCAUUGGAUAAGUGCGACUCAACCAAUCUUGAAUACAGAAGCCAUGAAUCCAGAGAAAUCAAAACCUGGUCAUCAGCAUUUAAUUUCCAAACAAUCUAUGAAAAGACUGUAACUGGUAAUAUGCACAGUCAAACAGGAUCGUUUCUGUCAAAUGGAUUACUGAGAAUAGAGCCUCUUAAAACAUGUUCUGGUCCCAUAAGGAUUGGUUUGUCUAAAAGGAUCAAAACGAAACAUUUACAUCCAUACUUA